UGUUUGUCACCAAUCCUGACUGACUAUAUAUUUACUCUUUUCUUAUACAUUUUUUCUUUUGGCUAGUAUGUGUCUCUCCCAAUGGAAAGUAAGCUCCAUGAAGAAGGGACUUUGUUUUUACAAUGUUCUUUUCUAUCAAUUAGGAAUCAACCCGGCACAUAGAAGAUGCUCAAAUUUGCUGCCACUUGGUGGGUCACGUGUGACGUGGGUUAGUCGGAAGAACUGAUGAAGUUGGUGAGCUGGUCUACAAAGCUGAGCAACAUGUGUUUUGAAAUGUUGUUGUGAAAGGCAGGGUGGUAUGACUCGUCACUGGAGCCACAGCAACUGGAACACAAUCAGUCUCAUGACAUCUGGCCUGUCAGGCUCUGUCACCAGAUCAUGUGUGAACAUUUAUUUAUGAUCAAGUCCCUCUCCUUUUUCCAUACCUUCUCCCACGCUGUACACCUUGAAAAUGUCUGAAAAAAGAAUACUAAUCUUUUCUUAAGAGCCUUU